rnacentral:rRNA from 1 species
GACGAACGCUGGCGGCGUGCUUAACACAUGCAAGUCGAACGGAAAGGCCCUGCUUUUGUGGGGUGCUCGAGUGGCGAACGGGUGAGUAACACGUGAGUAACCUGCCCUUGACUUUGGGAUAACUUCAGGAAACUGGGGCUAAUACCGGAUAGGAGCUCCUGCUGCAUGGUGGGGGUUGGAAAGUUUCGGCGGUUGGGGAUGGACUCGCGGCUUAUCAGCUUGUUGGUGGGGUAGUGGCUUACCAAGGCUUUGACGGGUAGCCGGCCUGAGAGGGCGACCGGCCACAUUGGGACUGAGAUACGGCCCAGACUCCUACGGGAGGCAGCAGUGGGGAAUAUUGCACAAUGGGCGGAAGCCUGAUGCAGCAACGCCGCGUGCGGGAUGACGGCCUUCGGGUUGUAAACCGCUUUCGCCUGUGACGAAGCGUGAGUGACGGUAAUGGGUAAAGAAGCACCGGCUAACUACGUGCCAGCAGCCGCGGUGAUACGUAGGGUGCGAGCGUUGUCCGGAUUUAUUGGGCGUAAAGGGCUCGUAGGUGGUUGAUCGCGUCGGAAGUGUAAUCUUGGGGCUUAACCCUGAGCGUGCUUUCGAUACGGGUUGACUUGAGGAAGGUAGGGGAGAAUGGAAUUCCUGGUGGAGCGGUGGAAUGCGCAGAUAUCAGGAGGAACACCAGUGGCGAAGGUGGUUCUCUGGGCCUUUCCUGACGCUGAGGAGCGAAAGCGUGGGGAGCGAACAGGCUUAGAUACCCUGGUAGUCCACGCUGUAAACGGUGGGUACUAGGUGUGGGGUCCAUUCCACGGGUUCCGUGCCGUAGCUAACGCUUUAAGUACCCCGCCUGGGGAGUACGGCCGCAAGGCUAAAACUCAAAGGAGUUGACGGGGCCCCGCACAAGCGGCGGAGCAUGCGGAUUAAUUCGAUGCAACGCGUAGAACCUUACCUGGGUUUGACAUGGAUCGGGAGUGCUCAGAGAUGGGUGUGCCUCUUUUGGGGUCGGUUCACAGGUGGUGCAUGGCUGUCGUCAGCUCGUGUCGUGAGAUGUUGGGUUAAGUCCCGCAACGAGCGCAACCCUUGUUCACUGUUGCCAGCACGUUAUGGUGGGGACUCAGUGGAGACCGCCGGGGUCAACUCGGAGGAAGGUGGGGAUGACGUCAAGUCAUCAUGCCCCUUAUGUCCAGGGCUUCACGCAUGCUACAAUGGCUGGUACAGAGAGUGGCGAGCCUGUGAGGGUGAGCGAAUCUCGGAAAGCCGGUCUCAGUUCGGAUUGGGGUCUGCAACUCGACCUCAUGAAGUCGGAGUCGCUAGUAAUCGCAGAUCAGCAACGCUGCGGUGAAUACGUUCCCGGGGCU